rnacentral:rRNA from 1 species
GAUGAACGCUGGCGGCGUGCCUAAUACAUGCAAGUCGAACGCUGAAGGCAGGAGCUUGCUCUUUCCGGUUGAGUUGCGAACGGGUGAGUAACGCGUAGGUAACCUGCCUGGUAGCGGGGGAUAACUAUUGGAAACGAUAGCUAAUACCGCAUAACAGUAGAUGUUGCAUGAUAUCUACUUAAAAGGUGCAAUUGCACCACUAACAGAUGGACCUGCGUUGUGUUAGCUAGUUGGUGAGGUAACGGCGCACCAAGGCGACGAUACAUAGCCGGCCUGAGAGGGUGGCCGGCCACACUGGGACUGAGACACGGCCCAGACUCCUACGGGAGGCAGCAGUAGGGAGGCGUCGGCAAUGGGCGGAAGUCUGAACGGGGAACGAGGCGGAAGUGGAGAAGGGGCUCGGGUCGUAAAGGUCUGUUGUAAGAGAAGAACGAGGGGGAGGGUGGAAAGUUCACGCUGUGACGGUACCUGAAGAGAAAGGAACGGCUAACUACGUG